UACGGAGGAUGCAAGCGUUAUCCGGAAUGAUUGGGCGUAAAGCGUCCGAAGGUGGCUAUGUAAGUCUGCUGUUAAAGAGUCUAGCUCAACUAGAUAAGAGCAGUGGAAACUACAAGGCUAGAGUACGUUCGGGGCAGAGGGAAUUCCUGGUGUAGCGGUGAAAUGCGUAGAGAUCAGGAAGAACACCAGUGGCGAAGGCGCUCUGCUAGGCCGUAACUGACACUGAGGGACGAAAGCUAGGGGAGCGAAUGGG
rnacentral:rRNA from 1 species